rnacentral:piRNA from 1 species
UAGCUCCAAGGUUCCUUCCGAUAGAGCCUGU